rnacentral:tRNA from 1 species
GCAGGUGUAGUUCAAUAGUAGAACACGAGCUUCCCAAGCUCGCAACGGGGUUCGAUUCCCCUCACCCGCU